UAUAUUUGCAUCGACGGCGACGUCUCGCGUAUUAUGUUAGAAAAUGAAGCCUAGCCUGCGGCAGUCUAAAAAUUGAUUGCAAUGGAGGUGACGAGUAUCAUUAAGACACAUUUUGCUAAAAGGUCUGGCUGAGAUUUAGUUGUUUUAUCAGAUAUAAAACUUUACUACUGAGAAGCACUGAGGGAAGCGCACCCGUUUUCCUGACUUAGUGGUCCUCGCUGUUGUGGAAGCUGGUACCUCGUCGCCGUCGUGCGGUUGAUCUGCGAAGAGCGCUGGUUCGUCUGUUGUGGGCGUCGUCCUCGUAGUGUCGCGGCUAAAUCAUGAUGUGGGCUUGUCGUCAUUGAGUACAUACGCGGGUUUGAGCCGAUCUAUGGAAACGGUGACAUCUCGACCUUUUAUGUGGACGAAGAAUGUUUUCGCCGAUCGCCUUACGACUCUGUAUGGACCGUCGUGGCGUACAAAAACUUGUUUGGAGGUGGCGAGAUCUUUGAAAACGAAGACCUUCUUUGUUCCGUGUCGCGUUCCAUCACAUGGUUUCAAGUUACGCACGUGUUGACGUAAUUCUUUGACGAAGCUUAUGGUACUGUUGUCUGCGCUGUUUUCAUCGCGUCGGAUGUCUAGGAAUUCACAGGGCAGGCGGAGAGGUUGGCCAUACACGAGCUCCGCGGAGGAACCUUGGAAGUCUUCUUUCCAUGCUGGUCGAAUGCCGAGCAUGACAGUGGAUAGGGCUUCAGUCUAGUGAUUAUUCUGGUGGCACAUGAUUGCCGCUUUUAGCUGUCGGUGUAGGCGUUCAACCAUUCUGUUGGCUGAGGGGUGGUACCACUUGAAGUGUCUAGCUUGGUCGGUGGUUACUCGUAACGGGGUGCCGAAUCGUGCGAUCCAUGUAUCGUAGAAGGCUCGUGCCACGGUUGCUGCUUCCUGAUCGCUCCGGCUUCUGACCAGCGGGUGUACCGAUCUACCAUGGUAAGGCAGUAACGACAACCCUCUGAGAGUGUCAUAAUUACUAUGUCCAAGUGCACGUAUUCAAACCGGUCUGAUGGUUGUUGUUGUGCUGCUGCCAGAGCCUGGAAAUCAAUCGAGGUCUCCAAGGCCUCGACACGGCAAAGAGCAUCUGCCACAACAUUUUCGCUCUCUGCAAUGUGGCGAAUGUCAGUCGUGAAUUGACUGAUGAAGUCUAAGUGUCGGACUUAUAUGGAAACGGUUGAUCCUACAAUAAAGCUGGGUCACCAACUUCUAUCCGCUCUUUAGAUUAAUUUUUGCUUUGUAGACGUUAAAAUAGGGAAGUAUUGUUAAUUUCAAGUUUUCUCCACGUUUCAUAAUCCAUAGAGUAUGAAAAAAUGGAUCCCCGUUUCUGUCUAUCUGUCGUCUUUGUCGAUAAGUUUUGAUAUACUUAUAUACUGACUGUCAAUGUUCUGGUUUAGAGCGUAAGUAUAUGUGCGAUACAGAACGUUUUAAGAGUGAAAGAAUUGUUCAAGCACUUACACGUUUUAAUAAUAAAUCCAAGAAGCUUCAGAGAAGACGCACUAAGGGUAUUAAUAUGAAAGUUAAAAGAUAACAUGCUGUCAAAUAUUACACCAAGGUCUCGAACUUCGUUAUCCAUUUCAAUGAAACAUCUUCUGAAAAAUAGUUAGAGUUAAAUGAUUUAUUACACUAAAAAGGUUCGAUUGGUACACAAUAAAAUUUUACAAUGUCAUUACGAGGGGUUGGCUAAGCUGUUCACCCACUGAGUGUCCCACAGGUUUGGCAUGCGCCGCUAUUGUUCAACUAGAAGUGGGGUAACUAAGAACCGCUCGGA